rnacentral:misc_RNA from 1 species
GGAAGGAUCAUUACAGAGUUCAUGCCCCUACGGGUAGAUCUCCCACCCUUGAAUAUUAUACCUUUGUUGCUUUGGCGGGCCGCUUCGGCUACCGGCUACGGCUGGUGAGUGCCCGCCAAAGGACCCCCAAACUCUGAAUUAUAGUGUCGUCUGAGUACUAUAUAAUAGUUAAAACUUUCAACAACGGAUCUCUUGGUUCUGGCAUCGAUGAAGAACGCAGCGAAAUGCGAUAAGUAAUGUGAAUUGCAGAAUUCAGUGAAUCAUCGAAUCUUUGAACGCACAUUGCGCCCCUUGGUAUUCCGAGGGGCAUGCCUGUUCGAGCGUCAUUAUAACCCCUCAAGCUCAGCUUGGUAUUGGGGCCUGCCAUCCUGGCAGCCCUUAAAAUCAGUGGCGGUGCCAUCCGGCUCUAAGCGUAGUAACUCUUCUCGCUAUGGAGUCCUGGUGGAUGCUUGCCAUUAAUCUUUUAACUUCUAUGGUUGACCUCGGAUCAGGUAGGGAUACCCGCUGAACUUAAGCAUAUCAAUAAGCGGAGGAAAAGAAACCAACAGGGAUUGCCUCAGUAACGGCGAGUGAAGCGGCAACAGCUCAAAUUUGAAAUCUGGCUCUUUCAGGGUCCGAGUUGUAAUUUGUAGAAGAUGCUUCGGGUGUGGCCCCGGUCUAAGUUCCUUGGAACAGGACGUCAUAGAGGGUGAGAAUCCCGUAUGUGACUGGGUGCCUUCGCUCAUGUGAAGCUCUUUCGACGAGUCGAGUUGUUUGGGAAUGCAGCUCAAAAUGGGUGGUAAAUUUCAUCUAAAGCUAAAUAUUGGCCAGAGACCGAUAGCGCACAAGUAGAGUGAUCGAAAGAUGAAAAGCACUUUGGAAAGAGAGUUAAACAGUACGUGAAAUUGUUGAAAGGGAAGCGCUUGCAACCAGACUUGCAUGCGGUCGAUCAUCCGGUGUUCUCACCGGUGCACUCGGCCGCGUUCAGGCCAGCAUCGGUUUCGGUGGUUGGAUAAAGGCCUUGGGAAUGUAGCUUCUUUAGGGGAGUGUUAUAGCCCUCGGUGCAAUGCAGCCUACUGGGACCGAGGACCGCGCUUCGGCUAGGAUGCUGGCGUAAUGGUUGUAAGCGACCCGUCUUGAAACACGGACCAAGGAGUCUAACAUCUAUGCGAGUGUUUGGGUGUCAAACCCAUACGCGUAAUGAAAGUGAACGGAGGUGAGAACCCUUAAGGGUGCAUCAUCGACCGAUCCUGAUGUCUUCGGAUGGAUUUGAGUAAGAGCAUAGCUGUUGGGACCCGAAAGAUGGUGAACUAUGCGUGAAUAGGGUGAAGCCAGAGGAAACUCUGGUGGAGGCUCGCAGCGGUUCUGACGUGCAAAUCGAUCGUCAAAUUUGCGCAUAGGGGCGAAAGACUAAUCGAACCAUCUAGUAGCUGGUUCCUGC